AGACGUCUACAUUAGAUACCCCUGUAGUCCCAGCCGUAAACUAUGCGCGUUAGGUGUAUCGGUGACCACGAGUUACCGAGGGUGCCGAAGGGAAACCGUGAAACGUGCCGCCUGGGAAGUACGGUCGCAAGGCUGAAACUUAAGGAAUUGGCGGGGAGCACCACAACAGGUGGAGCCUGCGGUUUAAUUGGACUCAACGCCGGGAAGCUCACCGGAUAGGACAGCAGAAUGACUGCCGGGCUGAAGACCCUGCAUGACUAGCUG
rnacentral:rRNA from 1 species